rnacentral:rRNA from 1 species
ACGGGAGGCAGCAGUGGGGAAUAUUGGGCAAUGGGCGAAAGCCUGACCCAGCAACGCCGCGUGAAGGAAGAAGGCCUUCGGGUUGUAAACUUCUUUUACCAGGGACGAAGGACGUGACGGUACCUGGAGAAAAAGCAACGGCUAACUACGUGCCAGCAGCCGCGGUAAUACGUAGGUUGCAAGCGUUAUCCGGAUUUACUGGGUGUAAAGGGCGCGUAGGCGGGGAUGCAAGUCAGAUGUGAAAUCCAUGGGCUCAACCCAUGAACUGCAUUUGAAACUGUAUCUCUUGAGUGCUGGAGAGGUAGAUGGAAUUCCUAGUGUAGCGGUGAAAUGCGUAGAUAUUAGGAAGAACACCAGUGGCGAAGGCGAUCUACUGGACAGUAACUGACGCUGAGGCGCGAAAGCGUGGGGAGCAAACAGGAUUAGAUACCCUGGUA